AACGAACGCUGGCGGCGCGUUUUAAGCAUGCAAGUCGAGCGGCAAGGGUAGCAAUACCCCUAGAGCGGCGGACGGGUGAGUAACACGUGGACAACCUGCCCUUAGGUGAGGGAUAGCCCAGGGAAACCUGGAUUAAUACCUCAUAAGACCACUGAUAGGAGUAUGAGUGGGGAAAGGUGCUACGGCGCCGCCUGAGGAUGGAUCUGCGUCCCAUUAGCUAGAUGGCAGGGUAAAGGCCUACCAUGGCGACGAUGGGUAGCCGGCCUGAGAGGGUGAACGGCCACACUGGAACUGAGAGACGGUCCAGACUCCUACGGGAGGCAGCAGCUAAGAAUCUUCCGCAAUGGGCGCAAGCCUGACGGAGCGACGCCGCGUGAACGAUGAAGGCCGCAAGGUUGUAAAGUUCUUUUCGGGAAGGAGAAUAAGGGGAGCAGGCAAUGGCUUUCCGAUGCCGUGAAUCCCGGAAUAAGCCCCGGCUAACUACGUGCCAGCAGCCGCGGUAAUA
rnacentral:rRNA from 1 species